rnacentral:rRNA from 1 species
UGGGGAAUUUUGGACAAUGGGCGAAAGCCUGAUCCAGCAAUGCCGCGUGUGUGAAGAAGGCCUUCGGGUUGUAAAGCACUUUUGUCCGGAAAGAAAUCCUUGGCUCUAAUACAGUCGGGGGAUGACGGUACCGGAAGAAUAAGCACCGGCUAACUACGUGCCAGCAGCCGCGGUAAUACGUAGGGUGCAAGCGUUAAUCGGAAUUACUGGGCGUAAAGCGUGCGCAGGCGGUUUGCUAAGACCGAUGUGAAAUCCCCGGGCUCAACCUGGGAACUGCAUUGGUGACUGGCAGGCUAGAGUAUGGCAGAGGGGGGUAAAUUCCACGUGUAGCAGUGAAAUGCGUAGAGAUGUGGAGGAAUACCGAUGGCGAAGGCAGCCCCCUGGGCCAAUACUGACGCUCAUGCACGAAAGCGUGGGGGAGCAAACAGGAUUAGAUACCCUGGUAGUCCACGCCCU